UACAGAGGUCCCAAGCGUUGUUCGGAUUCACUGGGCGUAAAGGGUGCGUAGGUGGUGAGGUAAGUCGGAUGUGAAAUCUCCGGGCUCAACCCGGAAAUGGCAUUGGAAACUACCUUGCUGGAGGAUUUGAGGGGGGAUUGGAAUACUUGGUGUAGCAGUGAAAUGCGUAGAUAUCAAGUGGAACACCAGUGGCGAAGGCGAAUCCCUGGAAAAUACCUGACACUGAGGCACGAAAGCUAGGGGGAGCAAACAGG
rnacentral:rRNA from 1 species